rnacentral:rRNA from 1 species
GAUGAACGCUGGCGGCGUGCCUAAUACAUGCAAGUCGAGCGAACAGACGCGGCGCUUGCUCCUUCGACGUUAGCGGCGGACGGGUGAGUAACACGUAGGUAACCUACCUCUAAGACUGGGAUUACUUCAGGAGACCGGAGCUAAUACCGGGUAAUCUUUCGACUCGCAUGGUUCUAUAGUCAAAGAUGGCUUUGCUCUCACUUUUCGAUGGCCCUGCGCCGUAUUAGCUAGUUGUUAAGGUAACGGCUUACCAAGGUAACGAUCCGUAGCCGACCUGAGAGGGUGAUCGGCCAAACUGGAACUGAGACCAGGUCCAGACUCCUACGGGAGGCAGCAGUAGGGAAUCUUCCGAAAUGGGCGAAAGCCUGACGGAGCAACGCCGCGUGAGUGAUGAAGGUCUUCGGAUCGUAAAACUCUGUUAUUAGGGAAGAACAAACGUGUAAGUAACUGUGCACGUCUUGACGGUACCUAAUCAGAAAGCCACGGCUAACUACGUG